UCGCCGGGCUCUGAGGCGCAGGUAACCUCUGGAGUAGGCCGAGGCGGGGCUGUGGAAGGCUGAGGCGAGCAGGAGACCCUGUGGAACGUGCGGGCGAAUGUCACGGAGAAAGAGCUUUUGCUCGGCGCUCGGCAGGAAUUCAAUAAAGAAAAUGGCAGCUCUUACUCCAAGGAAGAGGAAGCAGGAUUCUUUAAACUGUGACAGCCUUUUACACUUCACUGAAAAUCUGUUUCCAUCACCUAAUAAAAAGCACUGUUUGUAUCAAAACAGUGAUAAAAAUGAAGAAAACCUGCAUUGCUCUCAACAAGGGCAUUUUGUUUUAAGUGCGCUCAAAACAACUGAAAUAAAUAGACUGCCAUCAGCAAAUCAAGGCUCACCAUUUAAAUCUGUGGUGUCCACUGUAUCUUUUUACAACCAAAAUAAGUGGUACCUCAAUCCACUGGAGAGAAAGCUGAUAAAAGAGAGUAGAUCUACUUGUCUAAAAACUAAUGAUGAAGAUAAAUCUUUUCCCAUUGUGACAGAAAAAAUGCAAGGAAAACCAGUCUGCUCCAAGAAGAACAACAAAAAACCACAGAAGAGUUUAACUGCUAAGUAUCAACCAAAGUAUAGGCACAUAAAGCCUGUAUCAAGGAAUUCUAGAAAUUCCAAGCAAAAUCGAGUUAUCUAUAAGCCAAUUGUGGAGAAAGAAAAUAAUUGUCAUUCAGCUGAAAGUAAUCCCAAUGCUCCUCGGGUUCUAAGCCAAAAAAUAAAACCACAAGUUACACUCCAGGGUGGAGCAGCAUUUUUUGUUAGAAAAAAAUCUUCUCUUAGAAAAUGGUCCCUGGAAAAUGAGCCGUCACUGGGACGCACCCAAAAGAAUAAAUCAGAAGUGAUUGAAGAUUCUGAUGUAGAGACUGUCAGUGAAAAAAAAACUUUUGCGACAAGGCAAGUGCCAAAGUGCUUGGUCCUAGAAGAGAAAUUGAACAUUGGACUACUGAGUGCAAGCAGUAAAAAUAAAGAGAAAUUAAUAAAGGAUUCAUCAGAUGACAGAGUUUCUUCAAAGGAACAUAAAGUUGAUAAAAAUGAGGCUUUUCCUUCAGAGGAUUCUCUUGGUAAGAAUAAGACAAUUUCUCCUAAGUCCACUGUCUAUCCAAUCUUCAGUGCAUCUUCAGUCAAUUCAAAAAGAUCUUUAGGUGAAGAACAGUUUUCUGUGGGAUCUGUCAACUUCAUGAAACAGACCAAUAUCCAGAAAAAUACUAAUACCAGAGAUACAAGUAAAAAAACAAAAGACCAGCUCAUCAUUGACGCUGGUCAGAAACAUUUUGGGGCUACUGUGUGCAAGUCUUGUGGUAUGAUAUACACUGCUUCCAACCCUGAAGAUGAAAUGCAGCAUGUACAGCAUCACCACAGGUUUCUGGAAGGAAUCAAAUAUGUGGGUUGGAAGAAAGAACGUGUGGUAGCAGAGUUUUGGGAUGGGAAAAUCGUGUUGGUUCUGCCACAUGAUCCAAGCUUUGCUAUCAAAAAGGUAGAAGAUGUCCAAGAACUUGUUGAUAAUGAAUUGGGCUUCCAGCAAGUUGUUCCUAAAUGUCCAAACAAAAUAAAAACUUUUCUUUUUAUAUCUGAUGAAAAGAGAGUAGUUGGAUGUUUAAUUGCAGAACCCAUCAAACAGGCAUUUCGUGUCCUGUCUGAACCAACUGGUCCGGAAUCCCCAAGCUCUACAGAAUGUCCUAGGGCUUGGCAAUGUUCAGAUGUACCAGAACCUGCAGUCUGUGGGAUAAGUAGAAUCUGGGUUUUCAGACUGAAGAGAAGAAAGCGCAUUGCAAGACGACUGGUUGAUACCCUCAGGAAUUGCUUCAUGUUUGGCUGUUUUCUCAGCGCUGAUGAAAUAGCAUUUUCUGACCCAACACCAGAUGGCAAGUUAUUUGCAACCAAGUGAGUUUUGCCUAGGGGUUUAUCAAUUUUGUUAGUAUUUUUGAAGAUUGGCAUUGUUAAUCCUAUAAGAUUGUAGAAGAUUAAAUAGGUACCAGGAAACAUGAAAGAAUCAUCUUCAACAUUUCUCAAGCAGCUGCUGAUUAUCUCCUUUUAUGGAGGCAUAACAAGCUUCUGGAGGCUUCUACAGAUUCUAAAGGGAAAGAUUUUCUGGGAGGUGAGAAAGCCACUUGAGAGAAGGCUAUUUUGAUUUACUAAUUAACUCAGUGUAAAGGUAGUCCUGGGCACGGUGGCUCACGCCUGUAAUCCCAGCAGUUUGAGAGGCCUAGACAGAGGUUGCUCAGGAGUUCCAGACCAGCCUGAGCAACUUGGUGAAACCCUGUCUCUACAAAAAAUACAAAAAAAAAAUUAGCCAGGUGUGGUGGCACACACCUGUGGUCCCAGCUACUCGGAGUGGGAGGCAGAGGUGGAAGGAUCACUUGAGCCUGGGAGGUCGAGACUACAGUGAGCCAUGAUUGCCCCACUGUACUCCAGCUUGAGUGACAGAGCAAGACCCUGUCUCAAAAAAAAAAAAGCCCUCAGCCAAGUCACAUGUUGCUCUUUUGAGAAUGAGGCAAAUGUCCAAAAAGAUAACAUCUGAGACUUAGAGCAAGUUCUAGAACAAGAAUAAAAAAACAUUUUCUUCCAGUUGGUAGCAGAUUGUCUGCAAUCUUGUGUUGAGGAUUUCUAGGACCUCACCAGGCUCAAGGGGCAGUGCAUACUGGGAUUAUUUUGUAAUGUCUACCAUAGACAAGGGCUGUGAAGUUGCUGGUCUUGUCCUUGGUAUUAGUUUAUUCCUAUUAGAUAUCACAACUGUAGGAACUAGAAAUAAAUUUCUCAAUGAAAAGCAAUGGCUUAUGUAUUAAAGAGCCAAUUCAAGAAAGAUCCAGUUCCUGCUUUAAGUCUUAAAGCAGGAACUGCUAUUCCUGCUUUAAGUCUUAAAGCAGGAACUGCUAUUCCUGCUAGGAAAAGAAUGACCUGGAGAAGCUGCUCUGUUGGUUUGGCAAAGAAGAGUGACACAUGUCAGAGCGAGGAUAAGAGACCCUAUUGAGUAUCACGAUGCAAAAUUAUACAUACGUUUUUCUACAGAUUAAGACAACUUCCAAUUUACUUGUCACAUUAUUUUGAUGGAAUAUAUGCAAAUUCAUGUUCUGUGUCCUAUUGCUUGGUACAAUCUUAUACCAAAAGGCCUUCAGUGAUUUCUAGGCAUUUUUAAAGUUCAGAGUGCAGUUGUUCCUAAUGUUUCUAAGAACGCCCUGUGUCGGUAAUUUUUAAAAUUCUGUCUACACCCAAAUCUAGGUAUACCACCUACAUUGGCAAUUCAGUAAGUUGGAAAAUUCCCAGGGGACUGUGGCUCACAGAAACUACUGAUCCAAAACACUACAGAUUAGCAAAAUAAGGCCAAGAGAGGGAAAGAAACCUCACAUUUACUCAACAAGUUUAAUGACAACACUCAAAUCAAUGAAGUAUAAAAUAAUGCUGAGACACCUUCUGGUACCCAAAG